rnacentral:rRNA from 1 species
GACGAACGCUGGCGGCGUGCCUAAUACAUGCAAGUAGGACGCAGUUGCGACCGGGUGAUUAACGCGUAGGUAACUACCUAUUAGAGGGGGCUAACUAUUGGAAACGAUAGCUAAUACCGCAUACUAGUAGAUGGACCUGCGUUGUAUUAGCUAGUAGGUAGGGUAAUGGCCUACCUAGGCAACGAUACAUAGCCGACCUGAGAGGGUGAGCGGCCACACAGGGACUGAGACACGGCCGAGAGGCCGACGGGAGGCAGAAGAAGGGAAUCUUCGGCAAUGGGGGGAAACCUGACCGGGCAACGCCGCGUGAGUUAAGAAGGGUUUCGGAUCGUAAAGCUCUGUUGUGAAGGAAGCGGUACUUAACCAGAAAGGGACGGCUAACUACGGGCCAGCCGCCGCGGGAAGUC